GGGUGUGGCGCAGCUUGGUAGCGCGCGUCGUUCGGGACGACGAGGCCGCAGGUUCAAAUCCUGUCACCC
rnacentral:tRNA from 1 species